CGCGCAGGCGGCCAGGUAAGUCGAAUGUGAAAGCCCCCGGCUCAACUGGGGAGGGUCAUUCGAUACUGCUUGGCUUGAAGGUAGGAGAGGGAAGCGGAAUUUCAGGUGUAGUGGUGAAAUGCGUAGAUAUCUGAAGGAACACCAGUGGCGAAGGCGGCUUUCUGGCCUAUUCUUGACGCUGAGGUGCGAAAGCUAGGGGAGCGAACG
rnacentral:rRNA from 1 species